GACGAACCGAGCGAACGUUGUUCGGAAUCACUGGGCUUAAAGGGCGCGUAGGCGGGCGGCCGCGUCCGGGGUGAAAUCCUCCGGCUCAACCGGAGAACGGCCUCGGAUACGGGCGGCCUGGAGGCGGGUAGGGGCAAGCGGAACUGUGGGUGGAGCGGUGAAAUGCGUUGAGAUCCACAGGAACUCCGGUGGCGAAGGCGGCUUGCUGGACCCGAACUGACGCUGAGGCGCGAAAGCCAGGGGAGCAAACGGG
rnacentral:rRNA from 1 species